UCCAAUCUCUGUUAUUCGGAGUGUGUGUUUCUUUUUGAGACUUAAUUUCCUUAUCCUUGAAAUGAGGUAAUAUACUUCCUUCAUAGGGUUGCUGGGAAGAUUAAACACAAGGUGAAAUAAAUAAAGCCCCAGGGACAUAAACAAAAAAUGAUGGCUUCUCACAGCAAUGCUCCAGAACAAACAACAAGGGAAUACUGGGCCCAGUCCCAGGACUGUCCACCUGUGAAUCCAACACCUUUUCACAUCAACUCCCAGGGUCACCAGGAAACACACCUUCAGGAAGCACCUUUUCUGUUCUAUCCCAGAGGGCACCAUCACAUACACUAUGAUAUGAAUCAUGACCCCUGGGGCUGUGUGGAGUUUCUGCAUCUCUCCCUCCCCACCGUGGCUACCCUCAUCCAGCAACCAUUCUGUCUCUCACCAGUAUUACCGCAGCUGAGACCCAAGUCUUAAGGAAGCUAAGAUCCAGGCCAGCAGGGGCCACACAGGAUUAUAGGAUCUGGCUCCCAUGAAGGCCUUCCACCUCCGCUGGCCUAAGCUGUCAGUGUCAGAGAGCGCUGGCCCUAACAGCUCCCUUACCAGAGCAGCUGUGAUUCCUUCUUCAUUUCCAGCAGGGACGACCCAAUAACUUUUACAGUAUGGGAUUUCUUUUUUCUUAUGAUAACAAUGUUCAUUGUGGAAAAAAAAAUGAUAAAAUAAAAAUCAGCUAGAAUUCCAACUUCUGGCAAUUUGGGUGUCUAUCUUUCUGCAAAGUUCCUAUACGCAUACUUUAUAAAAUUACGAACAUACUGCACAUACAGUUUUGGAAUAUGCCUUUUGCCUUCUGUCAUGAAAAAAGUCUUCAAAUGCCUUUUAACAGCUACACAAUAGUUCACUACAUGAAUCAACUCAAAUGUAACUAUUUUUGGCCUUUUAUUAUAAAUAACACAGAGAACCCUCAGUCUUUUUUACAUAAUGUCCUAACAGAGUAGGGAAAAUGCUCCUCAAUCCGGUGCAAUGUCCUGUGCCCAGGGAAACACAUUUUUUCUUUUCUUUUUUUUUUAAAGACGGAGUUUCGCUCUUGUCACCCAGGCUGGAGUGCAGUGGCACAAUCUCGGCUCACUGCAACCUCUGCCUCCUGGGUUCAAGCGAUUCUCCUGCCUCAGCCUCCUGAACAGUGGGGACUACAGGUGUGCACCACCACGCCCGGCUAAUUUUUGUACUUUUAGUAGAGACGAGGUCUCACUAUGUAGGCCAGGCUGGUCCAUCUUCUUAGUUGGUGGGAACAGGGACAUCUACACUCCCAAACACCUUGCCCUUAAGUGUAUAGCACAGUUUAUUGUCGUUUUCUUCUGAGAAAUGGAGAUUGUUGCACUUUCCCCAAAUUUACCUUCAUUCUCAGCCUCUCCUUGUCAUUGUAAUCCCAGAAAAGAUACAAUGGGGAAAAAGGGGAGAAAGAAGGGGGGAUGUAAUUUGAUGCUACAUUCUGAAACAAUACACAUAUUGGAGACACAUGAAUAUUCUUUAGCAAUAUUUUUAUUAAAUGAUAAAUUGCCAGGCAGGCAAGAGGUCCAGGAUCAAGCCCUGGUCUCAGUAUGCCAGAGUCUAAGGUGACUAUGUUUGGUUUCUGCAGGGGCCUGCCAUGGAGGCAGGCAAGGGAGGGAGGAGUCAGUGGUUCUAAUCAUUGGAGGGUGUUGGGGGUGGAGUCAGGGUAACCCAUCUGUAGUAGGCCUGGAGAACAAACCUGGCAGCUGGGGCAUGACUGGGAAAGCACUUGAGGACCUGGGUGGGGGAUGACAUUCGUUUGCACUGGUGCUGGGAGGGUGGUCUGCCCCCUGUGAGUGGUGCUCAGGUUUAAAGCUCCUCCUUGGGGCCACUGCCAUCACCAUGUCUCUGGUUUCUUGCUUGGCCUGGAAAAAAGAAAUCGAACCAGAGAGAGAGAAGGGCACAGCAAAAGAGACAACGAGGAGAACAGUGUAAGUGAGAAAAAGGAGACAGAGGGUAAAAUAAGUCAAGGCAGGGAGGCAGGUGCUUUGACAAGUGGAAUCUUUUUGGUAGACAUUUAAGCAGCAAGAGGCACUUUUGGUCCUGGACAAGCUUAUUACACAUCCACAGUUGAUGAGCUCUCAAGGGCCAAUGACAAGUAUUCAGAUAUCCAGUGGAUCAGGGAAAUGGCGUUUGCCAACUCUACUGACUACAGACCCUGCCUCUAAACUGAUUUGGUGCCCUCUUUCUGCAAAUCAAUUUCUCAAACUUUCUGGGAGCCAGUUAUUUCUCAGUGGAGCAGACAACGAUGAACCAGUGCUAGGGAACAGG
rnacentral:lncRNA from 1 species